UACGUAGGGGGCAAGCGUUGUCCGGAUUUACUGGGCGUAAAGGGCGCGUAGGCGGCGCAACAAGUCACUUGUGAAAUCUCCGGGCUUAACUCGGAAAGGUCAACUGAUACUGUGCGACUAGAGUGCAGAAGGGGCAACUGGAAUUCUCGGUGUAGCGGUGAAAUGCGUAGAUAUCGAGAGGAACACCUGCGGCGAAGGCGGGUUGCUGGGCUGACACUGACGCUGAUGCGCGAAAGCCAGGGGAGCAAACGGG
rnacentral:rRNA from 1 species